rnacentral:rRNA from 1 species
GACGGGGGGGGCUAGCGUUGUUCGGAAUUACUGGGCGUAAAGCGCACGUAGGCGGCUUUGCAAGUUAGAGGUGAAAGCCCGGGGCUCAACUCCGGAAUUGCCUUUAAAACUGCAUCGCUAGAAUUGUGGAGAGGUAAGUGGAAUUCCGAGUGUAGAGGUGAAAUUCGUAGAUAUUCGGAAGAACACCAGUGGCGAAGGCGACUUACUGGACACAUAUUGACGCUGAGGUGCGAAAGCGUGGGGAGCAAACAGG